UACGGGGGGAGCAAGCGUUGUUCGGAUUUACUGGGCGUAAAGGGCGCGUAGGCGGCGCAACAAGUCACUUGUGAAAUCUCCGGGCUUAACCCGGAGCGGUCAAGUGAUACUGUCGUGCUAGAGUGCGGAAGGGGCUACUGGAAUUCUCGGUGUAGCGGUGAAAUGCGUAGAUAUCAGGAGGAACACCGGUGGCGAAGGCGGCUCUCUGGACCACAAACUGAC
rnacentral:rRNA from 1 species